UCGACUCUCCGACUGUACGGAGAGAGAAUAUCGACAUGCGAGCAACUUGCGCACGAGGACAACAGACAGGUGGCAGCGACGCGGUUCACCAACCAAUCGUCGACGUUCAGGAUUGAGAAAUUCAUACUUUCACCUUUUUGCGACGGAAAAAGAGGGGGGAUUUUAUGUUAUAAAGCAACGCGCGAUUAACCACAUUACUAUUGUGGAAUUCGCUCUGAUUGAUUGUCAUCGGUACUACAGGGGGUGCUGAGCUUGCAGUUCUUCAGUCAUUAAAGGGCCGUGGGAAUUGAUAAAAAUGAAUGACAUCGAUUCAGCCAAUGGCACCCGCAUUCCUGUACUACGACAGAUACUCCAGCCAAUCGUUGUUUACUUAUAGAGCUGUCAAACAGCAGACCACUGUGUGGACCUUUAAAUUCUUAAAUCACGGAGACUUGCGGAGAAUUGAAAUGAAACGUUUAAAAUACGGUUGAAAACUGAAAAUAUUAUUGCCUUGUAUUAAAUGGAACUGGUAUUUCAAGCCCACCGGAAGUACUGGAGAUGAUUGGGCCUCGGGGAGUGUAACAAGCUCGGAGCAAGACGCAGUUCAAGGGACCGAUGUUCAUGGUUCAAGAGAUUGAUAGCGUAUCGAAGGCCACUAAAUGACAAA
rnacentral:misc_RNA from 1 species